rnacentral:ncRNA from 2 species
ACCUUAUUGAGAGGCAGAAGAGUGAAUGGGCACGUUGACACUGCCAGCAACCUUUAAAAGGUGCUAAAUCCUACGGGUGACCGAAAGAUAAGGA